UACGGAGGAUGCAAGCGUUAUCCGGAAUGAUUGGGCGUAAAGCGUCCGCAGGUGGCAAUGUAAGUCUGCUGUUAAAGAGUCUAGCUCAACUAGAUAAAAACAGUGGAAACUACAUAGCUAGAGUACGUUCGGGGCAGAGGGAAUUCCUGGUGUAGCGGUGAAAUGCGUAGAGAUCAGGAAGAACACCAGUGGCGAAGGCGCUCUGCUAGGCCGUAACUGACACUGAGGGACGAAAGCUAGGGGAGCGAAUGGG
rnacentral:rRNA from 1 species